ensembl:snRNA U6 U6 spliceosomal RNA
GUGCUUGCUUUAUAGCACAUAUACUAAAAAUUGGGAUGAUACUGUGAUUAGCAUGGCCCCUGCUCAAGGAUGACACACAGAUUUGUGAGGUGUUCCAUAUUUUA